rnacentral:rRNA from 1 species
GAUGAACGCUGGCGGCGUGCCUAACACAUGCAAGUCGAACGGAGAUUACGGACGGAAGUUUUCGGAUGGAAGACUGUCAUUCUUAGUGGCGGACGGGUGCGUAACGCGUGGGCAACCUGCCCUAUACAGGGGGAUAGCAGCUGGAAACGGCUGGUAAGACCGCAUAAGUCGGUUAAAUCGCAUGUUUUGAUCGGGAAAUGAGCAAUCAGGUAUAGGAUGGGCCCGCGUCCGAUUAGCCAGUUGGCAGGGUAAAAGCCUACCAAAGCGACGAUCGGUAGCCGGACUGAGAGGACGGACAGCCACAUUGGGACUGAGACACGGCCCAAACUCCUACGGGAGGCAGCAGUGGGGGAUAUUAGACAAUGGAGGCAACUCUGAUGCAGCGACGCCGCGUGAGUGAAGAAGUAUUUCGGUAUGUAAAGCUCUAUCAGCAGGGAAGAUGAUGACGGUACCUGACGAAGAAGCCCCGGCUAACUACGUG